rnacentral:misc_RNA from 1 species
UCUCCGUUGGUGAACCAGCGGAGGGAUCAUUGCUGAGUUACCGCUCUACAACCCUUUGUGAACAUACCUAACUGUUGCUUCGGCGGGCAGAGGUCCCUCGCGGAUCUCUCCCGGCAACGCCCUCACGGGCGGAGCGCCCGCCGGAGGAUACCAAACUCUAUUUUAACGACGUUUCUUCUGAGUGGCACAAGCAAAUAAUUAAAACUUUUAACAACGGAUCUCUUGGUUCUG